rnacentral:rRNA from 1 species
UGGGGAAUCUUGGACAAUGGGGGGAACCCUGAUCCAGCCAUGCCGCGUGAUCGAUGAAGGCCCUAGGGUUGUAAAGAUCUUUCAGCUGGGAAGAUAAUGACGGUACCAGCAGAAGAAGCCCCGGCUAACUCCGUGCCAGCAGCCGCGGUAAUACGGAGGGGGCUAGCGUUGUUCGGAAUUACUGGGCGUAAAGCGCACGUAGGCGGAUCGGCAAGUUAGGGGUGAAAUCCCGGGGCUCAACCCCGGAACUGCCCUUAAAACUGCAGGUCUUGAGUUCGAGAGAGGUGAGUGGAAUUCCGAGUGUAGAGGUGAAAUUCGUAGAUAUUCGGAGGAACACCAGUGGCGAAGGCGGCUCACUGGCUCGAUACUGACGCUGAGGUGCGAAAGCGUGGGGAGCAAACAG